rnacentral:sRNA from 1 species
GCAGUUCUAUCCCGAUGGCCUAGCACAGU